GACGAACGCUGGCGGCGUGCCUAAUACAUGCAAGUAGAACGCUGAAGAGAGGAGCUUGCUCUUCUUGGAUGAGUUGCGAACGGGUGAGUAACGCGUAGGUAACCUGCCUUGUAGCGGGGGAUAACUAUUGGAAACGAUAGCUAAUACCGCAUAACAAUGGAUGACACAUGUCAUUUAUUUGAAAGGGGCAAUUGCUCCACUACAAGAUGGACCUGCGUUGUAUUAGCUAGUAGGUGAGGUAAUGGCUCACCUAGGCGACGAUACAUAGCCGAUCUGAGAGGGUGAUCGGCCACACUGGGACUGAGACACGGCCCAGACUCCUACGGGAGGCAGCAGUAGGGAAUCUUCGGCAAUGGGGGCAACCCUGACCGAGCAACGCCGCGUGAGUGAAGAAGGUUUUCGGAUCGUAAAGCUCUGUUGUAAGUCAAGAACGGGUGUGAGAGUGGAAAGUUCACACUGUGACGGUAGCUUACCAGAAAGGGACGGCUAACUACGUG
rnacentral:rRNA from 1 species